GAGGAAUAUUGGUCAAUGGGCGCAAGCCUGAACCAGCCAAGUAGCGUGCAGGAAGACGGCCCUAUGGGUUGUAAACUGCUUUUAUACGAGAAUAAUUUGAUGCACGUGUGCGUUAUUGCAUGUAUCGUAUGAAUAAGGACCGGCUAAUUCCGUGCCAGCAGCCGCGGUAAUACGGAAGGUCCGGGCGUUAUCCGGAUUUAUUGGGUUUAAAGGGAGUGUAGGCGGUUUGUUAAGCGUGUUGUGAAAUUUAGAUGCUCAACAUUUAACUUGCAGCGCGAACUGUCAGACUUGAGUACACGCAACGUAUGCGGAAUUCAUGGUGUAGCGGUGAAAUGCUUAGAUAUCAUGAAGAACUCCGAUUGCGAAGGCAGCAUACGGGAGUGUAACUGGCGCUUAAGCUCGAAGGUGCGGGUAUCGAACAGGAUUAGAUACCCUGGUAGUCCGCACAGUAAACGAUGGAUGCCCGCUGUUAGCGCCUGGCGUUAGCGGCUAAGCGAAAGCAUUAAGCAUCCCACCUGGGGAGUACGCCGGCAACGGUG
rnacentral:rRNA from 1 species